rnacentral:rRNA from 1 species
AUACGUAGGUGGCAAGCGUUGUCCGGAAUUAUUGGGCGUAAAGCGCAUGUAGGCGGUGCCUUAAGUCUGUCGUGAAACUGCGGGGCCUAACCCCGUAUGGCGAUGGAAACUGUGGCACUUGAGUGCAGGAGAGGAAAGGGGAACUCCCAGUGUAGCGGUGAAGUGCGUAGAUAUUGGGAAGAACACCGGUGGCGAAGGCGCCUUUCGGGACUGUGUCUGACGCUGAGAUGCAAAAGCCAGGGUAGCGAACGGGAUUAGAUACCCCGGUAGUCCUGGCCGUAAACGAUGGGUACUAGGUGUGGGAGGUAUCGACCCCUUCCGUGCCGGAGUUAACGCAAUAAGUACCCCGCCGGGGGAGUACGGCCGCAAGGCUUAAACUCAAAGGAAUUGACGGGG